UACGUAGGGUGCGAGCGUUGUCCGGAAUUAUUGGGCGUAAAGAGCUUGUAGGCGGUUUGUCGCGUCUGCUGUGAAGUUUCGGGGCUCAACCCCGAACUUGCAGUGGGUACGGGCAGACUAGAGUGUGGUAGGGGAGACUGGAAUUCCUGGUGUAGCGGUGAAAUGCGCAGAUAUCAGGAGGAACACCGAUGGCGAAGGCAGGUCUCUGGGCCACUACUGACGCUGAGAAGCGAAAGCAUGGGGAGCGAACAGG
rnacentral:rRNA from 1 species